GAAGGUGGGACAAAUGAUUGGGGUGAAGUCGUAACAAGGUAGCCGUAUCGGAAGGUGCGGCUGGAUCACCUCCUUUCUAAGGA
rnacentral:rRNA from 2 species